rnacentral:rRNA from 1 species
UUUUGAAUGUUAAGGCAUGCAGAUCCAAUUUUCUGCCACCGAAUACAUUAGCAUGGGAUAAUGGAAUAGGACCCUGUCCUCCUAUUUUCAGUUGGUUUUGGCAGCGCGAGGACUAGGGUAAUGAUUAAUAGGGAUAGUUGGGGGCAUUAAUAUUUAAUUGUCAGAGGUGAAAUUCUUGGAUUUAUGAAAGAUUAACUUCUGCGAAAGCAUCUGCCAAGGAUGUUUUCAUUAAUCAAGAACGAAAGUUAGGGGAUCGAAGACGAUCAGAUACCGUCGUAGUCUUAACCAUAAACGAUGCCGACCAGCGAUUAGGAGACGUUGAAUACAAAACACCACCAUCGGCGCGGUCGUCCUUGGCGUCGGUCUUUCGGGGCCGGCGCGGGGGCGGCUUAGCCCGGUGGCACCGGUGAAUGACUCCCCUAGCAGCUUGUGAGAAUUUUAACCAAACAAAAGAAAACCAAACAAAAUAUAAACU